UACGUAGGCAGCGAGCGUUGUUCGGAAUUACUGGGCGUAAAGAGUGUGUAGGCGGUGUUCCCAGUCUGUUGUGAAAUCUCCCGGCUUAACUGGGAGGGUGCAGCGGAAACUAGAAUGCUAGAGGGUGGGAGAGGUAAGCGGAAUUCCUGGUGUAGCGGUGAAAUGCGUAGAUAUCAGGAGGAACACCUGUGGUGUAGACAGCUUACUGGACCACUUCUGACGCUGAUGCACGAAAGCUAGGGGAGCAAACAGG
rnacentral:rRNA from 1 species